AAAAUGACUCUCGGCAACGGAUAUCUCGGCUCUCGCAUCGAUGAAGAACGUAGCGAAAUGCGAUACUUGGUGUGAAUUGCAGAAUCCCGUGAACCAUCGAGUCUUUGAACGCAAGUUGCGCUCGAAGCCUUUUGGCUGAGGGCACGUCUGCCUGGGCGUCACGC
rnacentral:rRNA from 1 species